ensembl:lncRNA
CACAGCGUGACCACGUGACCUGCAGCUUUUAACUUUCGAUUUCUCCGGAGCAGAAGACUUUGUGGCGCAGCGGAGAUAAACCUGAUUCGUGCAGACGUCAUGCUGUCCCUCUGUUUCAAGAACGAACCUCCAAAGGUUUUCAGAAAGGGCAAACCCAUCGAUGAUGAAAUGAACAAUGAAACAGAGCGUCCGGACUGUGAGUACAAACACUGCUUCAACUCCUGAAACGUUCAGGCUUAAAGCGGGGGUAUUCUGCAAAAUCGAUUUUUUUUUUUUACCUUUCUCCCACAUUCUAACGCUGUUCUCUCAUCAAAAACAAGAAGAGGUUUUAGAUGUUGUCCAUGCAUGUUUAAGUAAUCUAGAGAUCUCUUCCUCGUCCUAUUCAAACCAUCCUUAGUACGAUCCUGUACGAGGCUCCGCCCACAAGCUUACAUCACUCAUGCUCCCACAUGACAAUUGUUCAUAAAUAUACAAAGACAUGAUACAAAACUGUACACAACAACUUGACAAACCUGAUGUGAUAUGCAGUAGUGUCAUUAGUGGGAUGCAGCUGAUUGUGUUGUGACAGUGCUCUGAAGGGCGAGGGACUUAGCACAGAGAGUAAAGGGAGGGGAGAGGCAUCAAAAACGAAAGUGAAACUUAUUAAACAUGUCAAUACGUUGUUUUGGGUGAAUAUAACAUUUUCAAAACAAAACAUAGUGAUCUAAAUAUGGUAAGUGUUAGAGUUAAUGCCUUAUAGAAGUCAAAUACCCCCUCUUUAAAACCCCAUAGAAGUCAAAUAUGCUGCGGAACAUUUCAUCUGCUAAUUUGACUGAAGCACAAACAUUUAUUACAUUAUUGUUCAUGAUAAGUCUCACCUCUCCAUAUAUCUGACCUGUAACCUUCACAGUGUCUCCGUUUACCAAAAGCACUGAUUGAGUCUUCUCUCAUUCACAGUCUGAAGAUGGAAAUGAAGCUCAUCUCCAUGGAAACAGUCCAAAAAGUGUUAAAGUGUUGUUUCAGAUGUUUGGAUCGCUCUAUUUUACUCCCGUUCUACUAAAAUGUGACAAAAUGAAAUAAAAAUGACACAAACUGUCUCUGUUUUCUUUCUUGUAUUUGUGCAAAGGAGCAAAUACUCAAGUACAUUUGUCCACGUACAAAAUACAUUUAAGUAACACCACUGUGCUUUUCACACCCCAC